rnacentral:rRNA from 1 species
GGCGAGGGGAGUGAAAAAGAACCUGAAACCGUGUACGUACAAGCAGUGGGAGCACAGGUUUACCUGUGUGACUGCGUACCUUUUGUAUAAUGGGUCAGCGACUUAUAUUCUGUAGCAAGGUUAACCGUAUAGGGGAGCCGGAGGGAAACCGAGUCUUAAUUGGGCGUUAAGUUGCAGGGUAUAGACCCGAAACCCGGUGAUCUAGCCAUGGGCAGGUUGAAGGUUGGGUAACACUAACUGGAGGACCGAACCGACUAAUGUUGAAAAAUUAGCGGAUGACCUGUGGCUGGGGGUGAAAGGCCAAUCAAACCGGGAGAUAGCUGGUUCUCCCCGAAAGCUAUUUAGGUAGCGCCUCGUGAAUUCAUCUCCGGGGGUAGAGCACUGUUUCGGCUAGGGGGCCAUCCCGGCUUACCAACCCGAUGCAAACUGCGAAUACCGGAGAAUGUUAUCACGGGAGACACACGGCGGGUGCUAACGUCCGUCGUGAAGAGGGAAACAACCCAGACCGCCAGCUAAGGUCCCAAAGUCAUGGUUAAGUGGGAAACGAUGUGGGAAGGCCCAGACAGCCAGGAUGUUGGCUUAGAAGCAGCCAUCAUUUAAAGAAAGCGUAAUAGCUCACUGGUCGAGUCGGCCUGCGCGGAAGAUGUAACGGGGCUAAACCAUGCACCGAAGCUGCGGCAGCGAACGUAUCACCCAAGACAACUUUACGGAGUUGACGAUUGACGGAGCGAAGCGACGUCAAAGCGUUCAUUAAAGUCGAGUUGGCUUAGGGAUACGUUCGUUGGGUAGGGGAGCGUUCUGUAAGCCUGUGAAGGUGUGUCGUGAGGCAUGCUGGAGGUAUCAGAAGUGCGAAUGCUGACAUAAGUAACGAUAAAGCGGGUGAAAAGCCCGCUCGCCGGAAGACCAAGGGUUCCUGUCCAACGUUAAUCGGGGCAGGGUGAGUCGACCCCUAAGGC